rnacentral:lncRNA from 1 species
GAUUUUGAACAUUAUUGUCAUCGGUAACAGUGUUCUGUGUGGAGAAAACCCGUAUCUCAUCCCGCGGUCGAGCCUUCUGCCUUAAUCUGCUGUCAGCAUUCCUCCAGAUGAUCACUUUUAUACUAAUUGUUGGUUGGAUUUGGAGCAUCAUAUGGGGUAUGACAUUCGUAACAUUAGCCUGUAAGUAGCAGUCCUUUAAUUCUUAAACAUAAUACGCACACAUGCAUACACACACACACACAAACAAACAAAUACGGCACGCAUACAUAUAUCGAUAGAUUGAUAAAUAUUGACAUACAUACAUACAUACAUACAUACAUACAUACAUACAUAUAUAUAUAUAUAUAUAUAUAUAUAUACUCGCAGUAUCGCCGGCGUUGCUCGGGUUUGUAAGGUAACAUCUCUUCUGUAUCGUGUAUAUAUAUAUAUGUGUGUGUGUGUGUGUGUGUGUGUGUGUGUGUGUGUGUGUGUGUGUGUGUGUGUGUGUGUAUACGUAUGAAUGCGUUGCUAUGAUAGUUACUUCCCUUAUAUAUGCCAAAAAUGCAUUAAGAAUGGGAAAAAUUGAUGGUAAUUUUUUUUUUAAAUCGUAGACUCAUCGUAGACGCGCGCUAAUACCCAGAAGGGCUCGAUAUGAAUCACGACUAUAAGAUACCCGGUUUUGGUUAAUCUGCACCGCAAAAUGUGGGAGUAGUUAGGAAUCUAAAUCGUAGGAGACAGACAGCACACAACUUUACUUUUAUAUAUAAAGAUAUAUAUAUAUAUAUAUAUAUAUAUAUAUAUAUUCUUUGUAAAAGUGAAUUAAUUUAAUAAGUAUUUAGACGCAGGUGUGACUGUGUAGUAAGACGUUGCUUCCUAACCACAUGGUUCCAGGUUCAGUCCCACUGCGUAGCACCUUGGAUAAGGGUCGUCUACUAUAGACGCACGUGCGUAUACUUGCAUACUCGCACACUGGCUUGAUCUGCGGCUGGACAACAGAACAAUUAGCAAUUUGGCUUUCUUCCAAUCCAAACCUAUUGUAAUAUAGCCAGCUGUGAUAUAUCUACUUAAUGCAGAUAUAUAACGGGGGGGGGGUAAAUUAACUGAGGUAUUUUGUCUGGGGAUGAUAUCUCUUGUGAAUGCAAUGUGUCUAAAGACACAAAACUAUAUCGGUAGAAGACAAAAAUCAUCCAGCAGCGGCGAUGUGAGUACCAGAUGUGCAUUUCUGCCUCAUUGAGUUUUGUCAGUAGCAUGUAUACAAGCUUACUGCGUGCUAAGGCAAGAUCUGUCGCCACUAAUACAGGAAAACAGGAAUAAAAAUUUACUGAUGUUGCGAUUAGCCGCUCAACCGAAUAAAAAUACGUUAUGUGCAACAGAAACAGUAUUAGAUUAGCAUAUCCCUCAGUAUUGUAUUUUAUUGGCAUCCUUUCUGUCUUGGGAGACAAUGGAGUUGCGCAUGAAGUAGUCUAGUCCGGCUUUUAUAUUUCAUGUCCUGAUACAUUUCCUGUUGUGGGUGUGUAGUCCUAUCCUGGACAAACACUCCCUCUGGCAGGUACCGCAAAUGUAGCGAAGACUGUUCCUGGCUGGUUGUAGUGCCAUAGUCUCUUGUUUACGUCUCUUCCUUUCUUUCCAUUUCUCCUCUCUCUCUCUCUGUCACUCCUUUGUAUUCUCUCUUUUACGGUACGUCGCCAUUCUCCGCGGUUGCCGGCAACUGCCUCCCAACCGCUAAUAUUGAUGUUGCAGGCCUUCAUGUCCCUCAGUAUAUUGUACUUAAUGUAAGUACUUUGGGAAAGGCAAGUUUACUGGGAUACUCGUCCGGUUUUGUGAUAUAUUUCAGCUGUUGUGUACAUAAAAUAUAAUUCUUGUUUAGUUAUAAGCGAAUUUGUUUCUGAAUUCUUCAUUGAAGUUUCUCUUUUUUUUUUUUUUUCAUUAUUUAUUGACUUUUUUCGUUUCGUUUCAGCCUCAAAAGGUGAGCCAGCUCGUAAGCAAUACUAUGUCAGACGACAGAGCAGCAUGCCAGAGUAGAGAAGCAGGAUAGAUAGAGAGAGAGAGAACGAAGGAAAGAAGAAGAAGAAGAAGAAGAAGAAGAAGAAGAAGAAGAAGAAACGAGGAUGCAGACGACAGAGCGGAUUUAACAUUUCAUACUUCACUAAGACACUCACAUACACAAACACGUACUCACAAAUACACACAGACAGGUCACAUUUUCACACACAGUCGCAUACACAUAUACAUACAUAUACACCCUCAUAUAUAGUCUAGCUCUCUUAUACAUACACACACACACACUAAAGCAUGCACAUUUGCAUAUGCACCCUGUCAUAUGCACACACAUAAUACGCACACUCCAACCGAACAGUACGCUUACACACUCACGCAUACAGAUACCCAACAAUAAACUUACAUACACACAGCUAUACACACACAAUAUACAUCCAGUACUAACACACACACAGAUACACACUCUCUCAACAGUACACUCACGCACAAAAGAACGCGGUGAUCUAAGCCGAUAUAAAUAACA